rnacentral:lncRNA from 1 species
AUAAGAACAAAAUUUUUAAAAAUAAUAGUUGUUCAGCACUUAUAUUCUAGAAUACAUAUUAAGCACCUAACAUUAAUUUAUGUUGUUUCCCUUCUUCAAUUGUAUUGACUACUGCUGCUUGGAAAUUAUAAGACAGUAGAAAGGCAUUUAAUGUGGAAGACUGGUAAGAAAAAAUAGCCAGGAACAUUCUGGAAAAUUAAUAAGAGUAAUGCAUGAUGCUGGGUAUGCUGGCUCAUGCCUAAUCCCAACAGCUCAGGAGGCUGAGGCAAGAGGAUCACAAGUUCAAGGUCAGCCUCAACAACUUAGUGAGACCCUGUCUCUAAAUAAAAUAUAAAAAGGGCUGGGGGGCUGGGGUUGUAGCGCAGUGAUAGAGUGCUUGCCUAGCAUGUGUAAGGCACUGGGUUCGAUCUUCAGUGCCACAUAAAAAUAAACAAAUUGAAAAAAAAAAAAAAGGAAGGGCCACACUGCCACUUAAAAAUGUAUAUCUUUUUUUAAAAAAAAGGUAAUGCAUGGAGUGGAGCCUAGCCCUGCCAGCUAUCAAUGCAUUUUAUAAUGUUGGGAGUCCAAAAUAAAUUUGAUUAUGAUGCAGGAAGAAAUUGGUAGAUCAACAGGACAAAAGAAUAGUCAAGAAACAGACCCAAAUACAUACUGGAACUCAGCCUAUGAUAAAGUCUGCAUUUAAAAUUGUUAGGACAAAGGUGGACAUUUUUGUUUGUAUGAGCUAGUGGGGAUUGAUGCCAGGGCUUUGUGCCUGUUAGGCAAAUAUGGAUAUAUAAGUAGAUAGUGCUGAGACAACAAGGUAGCUAACUAUGAAAAAUAAUAUUGUAAAUACCUAAAACUCUGAUUAAUUAAUUACAUUUUAAAAUCUGACCGUAAAAGAGGAAAACAAAAGAUUUUAAAAAAUAUAUUCAAGUGGAAAAAAUGAUCUCUAAAUAUAAUACCAAAACAGAUACCAUCCAAGAACAAAUUGAUAAAUUUAUAUAUAAUCCCCAAUUUCUCAGUUCUAAGAAAUCAAAAUAAGAUAAAUAAUAGACCAAAGUCUGGGGGGAAAGUUAAUACCCCUCAUAUUCAGAAGUCUUAAGCAAUUAGAAAAAUAACCCAACACAAAAUGACAACAAAAGACAUUUCACAGAAAUUGUAAGUGGUAUUUAAAAAUAGGAAAACGUAGAUAAAAAUGGAAAAUUAAAAAUAUAACAUUUGCCACUUAACAGGCUGGCCAAAAUAAGAGUUUUAAAAAUUGUUUUGAAAAAAGUAUGGGGAAAUGGGCACUCUACUACAUUGUAGAAAGGAAUGUAAAUCAGUGAAACUAAACAAAGGAAAUUUGGCCUUUUAUGUAUUCAUUUAUUUAUUUAUUUUUGCUUUAGUAUAUUGAACAUCUUUCUAAUAUAAAUUAUGAGAAAAUAAUUAUAAUUCAAUGGAAGAGAUGCUGAAAGAUUCAAGAUUAACAUCCAUUAUUAGCAUGUAAAACUGAGGGAAAGAUCAAUGACUUAUGCUUGUAGAAUCCUGCCUCCAUGGGAGACAGAAGGGUCAAGCCUAAAGCCAUCAGUGGGAAAGAUGGGCUCUCAGAGCAGGGGUUUCUGGCUAGAAGCUGUUCCUUACUCACUAGGUCAAUUUUUUCUCCUAGCCCCCCAUCAGGCUGAGUCUCUAGGCUAAGAUGGUGGAGAUCAUGUUAGCUGUAGUAGAGAAAGAG